rnacentral:rRNA from 1 species
CUACGUGCCAGCAGCCGCGGUAAUACGGAGGGUGCGAGCGUUAAUCGGAAUAACUGGGCGUAAAGGGCACGCAGGCGGCUAUUUAAGUGAGGUGUGAAAUCCCCGGGCUUAACCUGGGAAUUGCAUUUCAGACUGGGUAGCUAGAGUACUUUAGGGAGGGGUAGAAUUCCACGUGUAGCGGUGAAAUGCGUAGAGAUGUGGAGGAAUACCGAAGGCGAAGGCAGCCCCUUGGGAAUGUACUGACGCUCAUGUGCGAAAGCGUGGGGAGCAAACAGGAUUAGAUACCCUGGUAGUCCACGCUGUAAACGCUGUCGAUUUGGGGAUUGGGCUUUAAGCUUGGUGCCCGUAGCUAACGUGAUAAAUCGACCGCCUGGGGAGUACGGCCGCAAGGUUAAAACUCAAAUGAAUUGACGGGGGCCCGCACAAGCGGUGGAGCAUGUGGUUUAAUUCGAUGCAACGCGAAGAACCUUACCUACUCUUGACAUCCAUGGAAUCUUGUAGAGAUACGAGAGUGC